AUUGAACGCUGGCGGCAUGCCUUACACAUGCAAGUCGAACGGCAGCACGGGAGCAAUCCUGGUGGCGAGUGGCGAACGGGUGAGUAAUAUAUCGGAACGUGCCCAGUCGUGGGGGAUAACGUAGCGAAAGUUACGCUAAUACCGCAUACGAUCUAAGGAUGAAAGCGGGGGAUCGCAAGACCUCGCGCGAUUGGAGCGGCCGAUAUCAGAUUAGGUAGUUGGUGAGGUAAAGGCUCACCAAGCCAACGAUCUGUAGCUGGUCUGAGAGGACGACCAGCCACACUGGAACUGAGACACGGUCCAGACUCCUACGGGAGGCAGCAGUGGGGAAUUUUGGACAAUGGACGCAAGUCUGAUCCAGCCAUUCCGCGUGCAGGAUGAAGGCCCU
rnacentral:rRNA from 1 species